UGCCCUUUGUCUUCAGCUACCAAGGUA
rnacentral:piRNA from 1 species